AUCCCCUCUAUUGAGUAAGACCCCUUGUAGACUACGAGGUUGAUAGGUCUGUAGUGUAAGCAUGGUGACAUGUUCAGCUGACAGAUACUAAUCGGUCGAGCACUUUUCCUA
rnacentral:rRNA from 1 species